ACCCUCCAGGUUCCUUAGCCCUCAAACCUAAACAGGGGUCUGAGAGGCUUAAAGAGAAAUGGAGGAAAGUGAAAUUGAAACGGACUUGGAGUCUGCGACAAACAAGUUCACUUCAAACAAUC
rnacentral:snoRNA from 1 species